CUUGCGGAGGAUGGGGAUGCGUUGGAUUAGCUUGCUGGUGAGGUAACGGCUCACCAGGGCUCCGAUCCAUAGGGGUUCUGAGAGGAAGGUCCCCCACACUGGCACUGAGACACGGGCCAGACUCCUACGGGAGGCAGCAGUGAGGAAUAUUGGUCAAUGGGCGGAAGCCUGAACCAGCCAAGUAGCGUGCAGGAUGACGGCCCUACGGGUUGUAAACUGCUUUUGCGGGAGGAUAAAUUCGCCCCACGUGUGGGCGCUUGCAGGUAUCCCGCGAAUAAGGACCGGCUAAUUCCGUGCCAGCAGCCGCGGUAAUACGGAAGGUCCGGGCGUUAUCCGGAUUUAUUGGGUUUAAAGGGAGCGCAGGCGGAGAUGCAAGCGUGCCGUGAAAUCGCGGGGCUCAACCCCGUCCAGCGGCGCGAACUGCAUCCCUUGGUUGCGGGAGAGGAAGGCGGAACUCGUGGUGUAGCGGUGAAAUGCAUAGAUAUCACGAAGAACUCCGAUCGCGAAGGCAGCCUUCCGGCCCGUUAACGACGCUCAUGCUCGAAGGCGCGGGUAUCAAACAGGAUUAGAUAACCCUGGUAGUCCGCGCAGUAAACGAUGAGUGCUCGGG
rnacentral:rRNA from 1 species